GGAGGUAUGGCAGAAUGGCUAUGCACCCGCCUUUUAAGCGGCGUAAAGUGGGUUCGAAUCCUACUGCCUCCA
rnacentral:tRNA from 1 species